AGGUGGUGCAUGGUUGUCGUCAGCUCGUGUCGUGAGAUGUUGGGUUAAGUCCCACAACGAGCGCAACCCUUAUGCUUAGUUGCUAACUUGUUUUACAAGUGCACUCUAAGCAGACUGCCGCAGAUAAUGCGGAGGAAGGUGGGGAUGACGUCAAAUCAUCAUGCCCCUUACGUCCCGGGCUACACACGUGCUACAAUGGCCUGUACAGAGGGUAGCGAAAGAGCGAUCUUAAGCCAAUCCCAAAAAGCAGGUCCCAGUUCGGAUUGGAGGCUGAAACUCGCCUCUAUGAAGUAGGAAUCGCUAGUAAUCGCGGAUCAGCAUGCCGCGGUGAAUACGUUCCCGGGCCUUGUACACACCGCCCGUCACACCACGAAAGUUGGCGAUACCUGAAGUUACUAGGCUAACCCCGCAAGGGGAGGCAGGUACCGAAGGUAUGGCUA
rnacentral:rRNA from 1 species